GCAAUUUAUCUUUCCUGGUUUGAGUUAUAUAGUCAGCUGAGGUGUAGAAAAUCCACUAUGGGAAGUAAAUCCAAUAACUUAUUGGGGAGAAACUUCUCUUCAUUUGGGCUGCCACAUGAAAUACUUGGGCCCCAUGGGGAUCUUGGAUAAUAGUUGUGAUUGAUGUCCAGUUAAAACCCUUCCCACACCAUCUUUCUUCUUCUUCAUGAAAGACUGUUUGAAAAGGUAGGUACUAGAUACAUUAACAUCAAGGGGAAGAUCUUCAUUCCAGUAACGAAGUCUCCAUUCUCUUUUCUCCUGCCACUAAACUGAACUCAAAGAUGGCC
rnacentral:lncRNA from 1 species